GCCUGGCUAGCUCAGUUGGUAGAGCAUGAGACUCUUAAUCUCAUAGUUGUAGGUUCAAGCCCUAUGUUGGGCA
rfam:Chelonia mydas contig170304, whole genome shotgun sequence.